UUGACUGUUAUUAGUAAGGCUUCUGGUCAACAGUAGGCUAUUGGUAGUUAAGUUUUUGGAGAGUCCAAAGUUAUAUAUGGAUUUUCAACCGCACAGGGGUCCAGCACCCCAAACCCCCAUGUUGCUUAGCAGUCAACUGCAUGGUUGAAGCAUUUUUAUUAUGGCUACUUUAAAACCCUUGUCAGAGAAUUCCAACAUCUAAUCCAUCUUGAUAUUGGCAUUGAUUGAUUGUCCUUUCUCAUUCAAAUUGACAUUUUCCUAGUUCUUAUUAUAAUAGAUGAUUUUUUUAUUGUAUCCUAGACAUCUUGGUUAUAUUAGGAGACUCCUGAUCCUAUUGAAAUGUUGUAUUUUACCAGAUAGUCACCCUGUUUAGGUGGAGGUUCUAGCCUAAUAUUGUGGGCUGUGGUUCCAAGGACAGCUUGGGUUCCUGUGCCCUGGCGAUGCUGUUCUGAUCUCCUUUGUUCUCCUGGUGAUGUUGAGGCUCCUGUUCAAUCCCUGUUGGUGCCAUCUACAGGGGAAGAGGUACUACUCUGUGUCACCUGAGGGCCUUCUGAUGGGGGUGGAGGCAGGCAGAAGCCACUGAACCUGGCUCUCCCUAGGCUACUGGGUAGAAAGUGGGGAAAAAAGAGAAUUUGCUGCUAUUGCCACUAUGGCUGCAUGGGACCACCCACCGGUGCACUGGCUGUGGAAUGGAGGCUGCUGUGGCCUAGGGCUUCACUUAAAAACUCAAAUACAUGUAUUAGCAAUUUUAAUUAAUCCUAACAAAUAAUGGCAAUGAUGAAAUCAUGAGCCUGGAGGGCCAAUUUUGAAGUUUCCUCUAAGACACAGGGAGUGAUUGUUAGGAAAAAAAUGUUUAUCCUCAAACCGCUUAAAAUCACUCUGUAAACACCCAAGGCUAUGUUGGUGAGCUGACCCUACAGCACACUGACACCCUGCCUGACAAUGUGGUAAGUAGAAAUAAACUUCCAAAUGAUCUGAGGCCAUUUUGUACCGAGAAUACUCUAGAAUGGGUCUUGGGUGUUGGUCACUUCACCAUAUUGCAGGCCUAGACAAUGAUUAGGUUAAAACGCUGAAAGCAGCCUAGCUCCACGAGGGCAGCACGUGUGGAAGCUGCAUGUCUCGCUUCAGGGCAGAAUGCUUAUAUGCGUGCACACUUACCUGCUUACAUACCAACCCACAUAUGUGUGAUUGCCUGCUGACAUGUUGACUUCCUUACAGACUCUGCCUACAUAAUUCCUGUACACCUGACCUAGUUACUCAAUCAUAUGCUUACCCACUUACAUGCUAACAUACUUGCCUGUUUCCCUGAUUGCAUGCUACAUGCUUACCUCUUACACUUGUCCCUUUACAUACUUGCACUCUUACAUGCUAACACAAUUGCACAUUCACUUAUCUGGGUAUGCUAUUACAUGCAUACCCUUUUACCUGCUUAGUCCCUUACACAGUGACACGCCACUUACCAUGCUGACACAAUGGCAUACUUACAUGGCUAUGAGCUCACAUAAGGACAUGCUUACCCACUCACUCAGCUCCAGCGCCAGAUCUGGUGGGGUGCAGCCGCAGAGACAUCCAAUGGAGAAAGGCAAGGGGUUGGAUUUCAGAGAAGGAAGGCUCACAGCCACGCCUCCAGCAGUCAUCCCUGGCGCCUGACUCCUGCCAGCCUCUUCUUGCAAGAGCCCCUGUCCACACCUCCAGCAGUUGCCAACAUAUUUCCUGAGCCUUUUGGUGACUGGCCUGAUCAGCCACAUGGGGCUGCCUCUGCUGUGAGUCACAGCUGAUCGGAUGGUGGAUGGCGGCCCUUGGACGUGUAUUCAAGGAUCUCCCCCAAGGAAGAGCGCCUUGAAUGUGGCUGGCUGGGGGGAGGGGAAGAGCACUAGAUCGGGAGUCCAUAGGCCCGAAUUCAUUGUCGAGGUGGGCCUCUUCUGAGCUGUGUAACCUUAGGGGUGUCAUUCAUCCCUUCCAAGUCUCCAUUUCCUCAUUGGGAGAACUGGGUAACAGGUGACAUAGAGUGGCAGAGACUGGGUUGUUCUGCCUUUAUCUUCCGUCCCUGGGUCCUGGUAUGCAAAUGAGCCUCAGUGAAUGCUUUCCAACUGGAAUAAGGCUCAUCAAGACAGUCAUGCUCCACUGAACACUAGACAAGUGGCAAAAAAGCCAACGAGCACCAUUUGCAAAGUGGAGUUCCCCCACCUGCACCAAAAUCAUUACAAAAUUGGUUAAAUACAUAUUUCUGGGCCCCAGCACCACUGCGGACAGGACCCAGGAGUUAGCAAUCUAACAACCUGCAUAGAGAGAGUCACUCGCAUAGGGUUGUGCAAGGCAAUUUCCUCUGCUUCCUUUUCUCCAGGUGAUGGAUUCUUGUUCAUCCUGCAAGGUAAACUCUGAUGUCACCUCCACCCUGAAGCCUUCCUUGACUGACCCCAGAUAGAAUUAAUUGCCUCAUCCUCUGUGAGCUCGCAAGUGAACUAUUUUAUUUGCAUUUUGUCCCCAGCACCUAGCCCAGGACUCGGCACAUAAUAGAUGCUCAUAUUUAAAGAUAAAAUCCAACCUCCCUCCCCUGGCCUAUGAGGCCUUCAGUGAUCUGAUCCUCCCCCUCCUACUUCCCUUCCACACCCCCCAGCUCACCUCUCCCUAUUCUGCUCCUCAUCCUCGAUGCUCCUGCCACACUGACCUUCAUUUGGUUCCCUAAACAAGCCAACCUUCAUACAGCCUCUCAGUGGCCCACCCAGCCUGAAGGAGUCCCCGGUAACGCUCCUUCCCAUCAUCCCAUUUAAUUUCUAUCAUGCAUGUAUCAUUCUCUAAUACUUCCUCUUUUUUUCCCCAAUGCAUUUGUUUUCUGUUUCUCCCUAGGGAACAUAAGCUCACGAGAUGAGAGAUCUUUAUUAGUCCAGCUAGUCAACCAAGGUUGACUUUCCCCCUCCCAGGGGACAUUUGGCAAUAUCUGGAGAUGUUUUUGGACUGUCAAGCUGAGAAGGUGCUAGUGGCAUCUAGUGAGUAAAGGCCAGGAAUGCUACUAAACAUGCCACACUGCACAGGACACCACAAAGAAUGAUCCAGCCUCAGGUGGCAAUUGCACUGUGGUGGGGCCACUCUAGUGUCACAACUCUAGAAGCCCCCGAGCCUGGCCCGGCGCCUGGCAAAUCGUAUGUGGCUCGAGCUCAAACAUUUUUGCUGCAUGAACAAAUGAAAUGUUUGAAUUAAAUGUUGGGUUUCAUUUUAAAGCCCGAAAGGUCCUUAGAGAGCAAUUAAACCACAAGCUCUUAGCUGGGCUCCGGGAAGCCUCAGGCUGUGGGGCGGAGUUGCAGGCAUUCUGCCUGCCAGGAAGAAUUUUCAGCUCAACUCCGAAAAUGUAAACUCUGUGACUAGGGUCUGUUUUACAUAUUGAGGUCUCAGUAAAAUUGUCUGACAAGUUCUACUGCUUAAAAAAAAAAAAAAAAAAAAAAGACCAGGA